rnacentral:lncRNA from 1 species
UCCCUUUGUUCAUGCUUCAUAGUGUAAAAGAAUCCAAAAUUGAGAAAGAGAACCAAGAUGAAGGUGCUUCGAAAUGAGAUGUCAGAAGCAGCUAAUUUCAUUGUUCUCGAGCAAGAAAGAACUCAUGAUCAGGCUGCCUAUUAGGGUCAUGAUCUGAUCUUUGCGAACAUGUCCCCUUGCAAAGCGAGCAGUAGUUUCCUCCAGAGUUCUUAAUCUUUCUGUAAGUAUUUCUGAAGUGUCAAAAAUGUACCAUCUAUCAAAACAGAUCCAGCGGACUCCUUAGGACGGAACAGCACUCACCCUACAAAGAGUGAAUGUAAAGAGAUGACUUGAGAAAAGAAAUUUUACAUCAGAAAUUACAUGCAUAUACUGUAAUGCUGUUCUAGUUUGUGAAGCUGUCUGCAUUAUUUUUAUUCAUCAUAAUCGGAAAAUCAACAAUUCAG